ACUGUAAACGUAUUUUCAAAUGACCCUUUGUUUAUUCUGAUCAAGAAUUUAAAAUUUCAUACCUAAAUUUUCCCUAAAACAGGGUGAUAAAGUAUCUUUAUCAACCUGCUAUUAAAUAAGUUGAGUAAAAUCGAAUAAAACUAUUUAUGUUAUUGUAAUUGUCAAUUGAAAUUGCACGGACAUGGUCCCUUUCAGACAUAUUAUUAUGUGAUAUUUUUAUGAACACACUUUUUUAUAUAAAUUUUACAUAUUUUAUAAUUUAUCUGCAAUAUUUUAAAUUCAAUAUUUUGUUCAAAAAAAUGUGAAAGCACGUUUUUAGUUUGAACCUGGAAUAUUUUGUUGAAUAAUUUGUUAUCAGGUAUAUUUUGACACCCUGUUCAUGUAUUUUAGUUAAAUUCCUCUAUACAGCUGUGUGAUGCAUGCCUGGCCAAGUAACAUUGAUUUACAAAUUUUUGUGGACUUGUAGACUCGAAUUAGCUACAGGGGGACCCAGACUUGUAGACUCGAAUUAGCUACAGGGGGACCCAGACUUGUAGACUCGAAUUAGCUACAGGGGGACCCAGACUUGUAGACUCGAAUUAGCUACAGGGGGACCCAGCAAAACAAGUCUUUCUUUAUUUUGAAUGGAGAUGUGUAUUGUUUUAAUUCUCCAUUCUGAACUGAGAAAUUAUUUGUUUUCAUCGAAAAAAAAAAUACAUUUUUUGUCAAACUUUUCCAAGUUUUAUACAUCAAAUCUAGUCCUAAUAUUUUUGUGAUAUAUGAAACACCCUGUAUUAUUAUUGUUUCUAAUUUACUGGUGUAAUUACACAGCAUCUUUAAAUUUCAGAAGAAUGACCGCUAGCUAUGGAUAAAUCGAUAAAUCUAAAACUUCCAGAUAGAUAGAUAGAUAGUAUAGCAGAGAAGACAAAAAAACUACCGGACAUAUAAUCUAGUUUUGCUCAAG